AGGGUUUGAUCCUGGCUCAGGACGAACGCUGGCGGCGUGCCUAACACAUGCAAGUCGAACGGGCGAGGCUCCUUCGGGGGCCAAGCUAGUGGCGAACGGGUGAGUAACGCGUGAGCAACCUGCCCUUCAGAGGGGGACAACAGUUAGAAAUGACUGCUAAUACCGCAUAAUGCAGCUGGAUCGCAUGGUCUGACUGCCAAAGAUUUAUCGCUGAGGGAUGGGCUCGCGUCUGAUUAGAUAGUUGGCGGGGUAACGGCCCACCAAGUCAACGAUCAGUAGCCGGUCUGAGAGGAUGAACGGCCACAUUGGGACUGAGAUACGGCCCAG
rnacentral:rRNA from 1 species